CUACGGGGUGCUGCAGUGAGGAAUAUUGCACAAUGGAGGAAACUCUGAUGCAGCAACGCCGCGUGGAGGAUGACGCAUUUCGGUGUGUAAACUCCUUUUAUAUGUCAAGAAAAUGACGGUAGCAUAUGAAUAAGCUCCGGCUAACUCCGUGCCAGCAGCCGCGGUAAUACGGAGGGAGCAAGCGUUGCUCGGAAUCACUGGGCGUAAAGGACGCGUAGGCGGGAUAGAAAGUCAGGUGUGAAAUCCUAUGGCUCAACCAUAGAACUGCACUUGAAACUUCUAACCUAGAGUAUGGGAGGGGAAGAUGGAAUUAGUGGUGUAGGGGUAAAAUCCGUAGAUAUCACUAGGAAUACCAAAAGCGAAGGCGAUCUUCUGGAACAAUACUGACGCUAAGGCGUGAAAGCGUGGGGAGCACACAGGAUUAGAUACCCGCGUAGUC
rnacentral:rRNA from 1 species